AACGAGAAAGGGGAGCAAUCCCUGAGUAAAGUGGCGUACGGGUGAGUAACACGUGGGUAAUCUACCUUUUGGUGGGGAAUAACCCUGGGAAACCGGGGCUAAUACCGCAUAAGCCUGAAAAGGGAAAGGCGAAAGUUGCCGAAAGAGGAGCCCGCGGCUGAUUAGCUAGUUGGUGAGGUAAAGGCUCACCAAGGCGAAGAUCGGUAGCCGGCCUGAGAGGGCACACGGCCACACUGGCACUGAAACACGGGCCAGACUCCUACGGGAGGCAGCAGUGGGGAAUCUUGCACAAUGGGGGAAACCCUGAUGCAGCGACGCCGCGUGAGUGAUGAAGCCCUUCGGGGUGUAAAGCUCUUUCGGCAGGGACGAUAAUGACGGUACCUGAAGAAGAAGCUGCGGCUAACUACGUGCCAGCAGCCGCGGUAGUACGUAGGCAGCGAGCGUUGUUCGGAGUUACUGGGCGUAAAGAGUGCGUAGGCGGUUUUCUAAGUUUGGUGUGAAGUCUCCCGGCUUAACUGGGAGGGUGCGCCGAAGACUGGGGAGCUAGAGUAUGGGAGAGGUAAGCGGAAUUCCUGGUGUAGCGGUGAAAUGCGUAGAUAUCAGGAGGAACACCUGCGGUGUAGACGGCUUACUGGACCAUAACUGACGCUGAGGCACGAAAGCGUGGGUAGCAAACAGGAUUAGAUACCCUGGUAGUCCACGCCCUAAACGAGCAUACUUGGGUGUGGGUAGUUCAUUCUAUCCGUGCCGGAGCUAACGCGUUAAGUAUG
rnacentral:rRNA from 1 species